rnacentral:lncRNA from 1 species
CUCAUUAUUAUAUAUUUUCCUCAAAUAAUGUUGAGAUUAUGGACUCCUUUAUUUUUUUUCUAAAAUAGCAUAUUAGAAUCUCAACUUUUAUGUAACAAUGUCGUAUUCUUUAAUUUAGAUUAUGUUUGAGAUUAUAGUAGGUAAAACCUUGAUUUGUGAGAAUCACGAUAUGGUAGAAUAUAAUUUAGAUUACCCAAAAUCGCCCACUGUUUUCACCAAUAUUGUUUUAGUUUUUUAAAUUUGAAU